rnacentral:rRNA from 1 species
UAAUACGUAGGGGGCAAGCGUUGUCCGGAAUUAUUGGGCGUAAAGCGCGCGCAGGCGGUCAAUUAAGUUUGGUGUUUAAUCCCGGGGCUCAACCCCGGGUCGCAUCGAAAACUGGUUGACUUGAGUGCGGGAGAGGAAAGUGGAAUUCCACGUGUAGCGGUGAAAUGCGUAGAGAUGUGGAGGAACACCAGUGGCGAAGGCGACUUUCUGGACCGUAACUGACGCUGAGGCGCGAAAGCGUGGGGAGCAAACAGGAUUAGAUACCCUGGUAGUCCACGCCGUAAACGAUGAGUGCUAGGUGUCGGGGGUUUCAAUACCCGCGGUGCCGAAGUUAACACAGUAAGCACUCCGCCUGGGGAGUACGCUCGCAAGAGUG